AUCAAACUGCUAUUAUCAACUUAAGCAAGUUCGACAUGGACGGUGGCUGACGAAUAGAAAGGAGGUUUUUCCUAUGGAAGAAUCUUAUGAAAGGACUCAGCCUGAUGACGCUUUACGAAGCAUUGUCGCUAGUUUUAAGGUCACUGAGCUUUCUUUGGAAAGUUUAUAC
rnacentral:sRNA from 1 species